GAUGAACGCUGGCGGCGUGCCUAAUACAUGCAAGUCGAGCGAACGGACGAGAAGCUUGCUUCUCUGAUGUUAGCGGCGGACGGGUGAGUAACACGUGGAUAACCUACCUAUCAGACUGGGAUAACUUCGGGAAACCGGCGCUAAUACCGUAUAAUAUUUUGAACCGCAUUGUUCAAAAGUGAGAUACGGUCUUGCUGUCUCUUCUCGAUGUAUCCGCGCUGCAUUAGCUAGUUGUUAAGGUAACGGCUUACCAAGGCAACGAUGCAUAGCCGACCUGAGAGGGUGAUAGGCCACACUGGAACUGAGACACGGUCAAGACGCCUACGGGAGGCAGCAGUAGGGAAUCGGACGCAAUGGGCGAAAGCAUGACGGAGCAAGGCAGCGUGAGUGAUGAAGGUCUUCGGAGCGUAAAAAUCUGUUAUGAGGGAAGAACAUAUGUGUAAGGAACUGUGCACAGCGUGACGGUACCUAAUCAGAAAGCCACGGCUAACUACGUG
rnacentral:rRNA from 1 species